UUGACCUCGGAUCAGGUAGGACUACCCGCUGAACUUAAGCAUAUCAAUAAGCGGAGGAAAAGAAACCAACAGGGAUUGCCCCAGUAACGGCGAGUGAAGCGGCAACAGCUCAGAUUUGGAAUCUGGUCCCCAGGGCCCGAGUUGUAAUCUGGAGAGGAUGCUUCUGGCGCGGCGCCUUCCGAGUUCCCUGGAACGGGACGCCGGAGAGGGUGAGAGCCCCGUACGGUUGGACGCCUAGCCUUUGUGAAGCUCCUUCGACGAGUCGAGUAGUUUGGGAAUGCUGCUCAAAAUGGGAGGUAAAUUUCUUCUAAAGCUAAAUACCGGCCAGAGACCGAUAGCGCACAAGUAGAGUGAUCGAAAGAUGAAAAGCACUUUGAAAAGAGGG
rnacentral:rRNA from 1 species